UACAGAGGGUGCAAGCGUUGUCCGGAAUUACUGGGUGUAAAGGGUGUGUAGGCGGGGCUGUAAGUCAGAGGUGAAAUCCCACGGCUUAACCGUGGAACUGCCUUUGAUACUGCAGCUCUUGAGUCUCGGAGAGGUCACUAGAAUUCGUGGUGUAGCGGUGAAAUGCGUAGAUAUCACGAGGAAUACCAGAAGCGUAGGCGGGUGGCUGGACGACGACUGACGCUGAGGCACGAAAGCGUGGGGAGCAAACAUG
rnacentral:rRNA from 1 species